AUCUCUCAACGCAAGAAACUUUGUCUUCUUGUGCUUGGAUAUUGAAGGCUUUGCUGGCGCAAACAACUGUCAGCUCCUUUUAAAUGUAUUAGCAGAGCAGCACAGGACUGGCCUCAGUUUGAUAAGAAAUUUUAUCUAUGCUGUCGCUGGGUUUUCCUAUUUGUGCUCAGCUUCAAAUUGUCUUUGGACUGUCUCUUGAGGCAACAAAAUCUCUAUU
rnacentral:misc_RNA from 1 species